rnacentral:rRNA from 1 species
GAGCGCAGGCGGUUUUUAAGUCUGAUGUGAAAGCCCUCGGCUUAACCGAGGAAGCGCAUCGGAAACUGGGAAACUUGAGUGCAGAAGAGGACAGUGGAACUCCAUGUGUAGCGGUGAAAUGCGUAGAUAUAUGGAAGAACACCAGUGGCGAAGGCGGCUGUCUGGUCUGUAACUGACGCUGAGGCUCGAAAGCAUGGGUAGCGAACAGGAUUAGAUACCCUGGUAGUCCAUGCCGUAAACGAUGAAUGCUAGGUGUUGGAGGGUUUCCGCCCUUCAGUGCCGCAGCUAACGCAUUAAGCAUUCCGCCUGGGGAGUACGACCGCAAGGUUGAAACUCAAAGGAAUUGACGGGGGCCCGCACAAGCGGUGGAGCAUGUGGUUUAAUUCGAAGCAACGCGAAGAACCUUACCAGGUCUUGACAUCUUUUGAUCACCUGAGAGAUCAGGUUUCCCCUUCGGGGGCAAAAUGACAGGUGGUGCAUGGUUGUCGUCAGCUCGUGUCGUGAGAUGUUGGGUUAAGUCCCGCAACGAGCGCAACCCUUAUGACUAGUUGCCAGCAUUUAGUUGGGCACUCUAGUAAGACUGCCGGUGACAAACCGGAGGAAGGUGGGGAUGACGUCAAAUCAUCAUGCCCCUUAUGACCUGGGCUACACACGUGCUACAAUGGAUGGUACAACGAGUUGCGAGACCGCGAGGUCAAGCUAAUCUCUUAAAGCCAUUCUCAGUUCGGACUGUAGGCUGCAACUCGCCUACACGAAGUCGGAAUCGCUAGUAAUCGCGGAUCAGCACG